rnacentral:lncRNA from 1 species
CACCCCUACGGCCUAAACAUUCCCUCCCCAGGUCCCUGGAGAGUGGUGGAAAGCGGUUCCUCCCCGCUUAGGCCCUUCGGAUGCAGGUCUAGCCCGUCGGCAACGGGAGGUGUCCUGAGUGGGUCUGUGACUGCCGAGCACACCCGCCGCGGAGCGGAGGCUGCUGCUUCCUGAGGCUGAGAGUGGAUCCGGCUCCGGGCUCUCCUAAUUGGCGGACGCUGGGGGGCGGCGUGAACCCAAAUCCUCAGAGCUGAUCGAGAAGCGCGUGUUGUUGCAGAAGUCACUGAGGGGCAGACCUGGAAUGUGAGCCGUGGGGCGAAGGGACAGCUCUGGAGACUCGUGAUUCCGGAACCCGGUGGGCAUUCAAGUGAUACUGGAGCACGCAGUUUUCGGGGACAUUAAGCUCGCCCCAGGGGUCCACAGGAACCCUCUGACCCAACGGUCUCUCUGGACAGGAUGAUCCAGAACAGACGGUGAAGAGACAAAACAGCGUGAAAGGGAGCGGCGAUACCUAAACUGACCUCCGGAGGGCAGCAUGAUCAAGGGAAGGAGCUGUUCUCGCUCCGCUCAAACCCCCGCGCAGCCUCUGCAGCUUACUCCUGCUUCGGAAGGCGGCGAGGUUCCACCCCCACCACCCCGGUCCCCGCCGCCCUCUUCGCGCUGAAGCUGCGGAGGGUCUUU